AUUCUUCAUACUCACUUUCUGAGGAAGUUAUAUCAGUUGUAUCUUCGUAGUAGUGU
rnacentral:antisense_RNA from 1 species